AGGGAUACCCGCUGAACUUAAGCAUAUCAAUAG
rnacentral:rRNA from 1 species